GAUCGUCAUCCAUGUGUCACUCUUGUUUGUUGAUGGUUCCUCGUGCCUCCUUGUGCUCCCCGUGUCAUCCUGUGGCCCAGUCUUCCAGCCACUCCAUUUCCCAAGGUCCUUUGCACCUGGCUAAAACUUCUAACAGCCAAGCGUCUGGCCCGGGCCUGAAUCUGGGCAUGAACCUCGUCUUCAUUGUUGGCUGCCUCCUGGGAUGCGGAGUGGUGAUCUACCGUUCAAGGAGGUCCCAAGUUAAAUACCAACUCCUGCCAAACUCUGAGACAGACUAAAGACAGAGACACCAUUUUGAUACACAUACAAGAUUCUCAGUUACAGUGUAAUAUUUGUAGGUUAUGUUUUGGGGUAUAAGUGGUGAAUCAUUGUCACACAGUCCACAAUGUGAAAAGAUGGAAGUUACUUAUAUAGAGUGAGACGGCAUUAAGUGUGUGAGAAUGAAAAGUGUUGGAUGUGUCUUUGCAUUUCUGGUGAAAGAUGAAGUUCUUGAAGUUUGAUCCAUGAAGACAAAUGAAUCUGGCAACAAUAUAGAUCUUUUAAGAGCAUUUAUCAAACAUCAACAUCAAAGCACUAUAUAUGAAGGAGUCAUAAAUCUCAUAGUUUCAAUACCGGGACCAGAAGAUGUGGAUAUAACCAGCAUGUUUGUGUCACUGAUUGUUUCUCAUCAACACAUUUCUUUAUGACACUGACUGCUUACUGUUUUGAUGUUUUGUCCAAUGCUAUUGUGUUUGCACUAAGCUUUACUAUUCAAAUUUCAACAUUACAUUACAGGUCAUUUAGAGGAUGCUCUCAUCCAGAGCGACUUACAGUGAACUAAGUACAGGGACAGUCUCCCUGGAGCAGCUCAGGGGUACAAUGGUGGCAGCCAGUUUUGUUUGGAAGGCGUACCACUAGACCACUAGGCCAUCACCACCCACAUUAGGUCAGAGUUUUCUGAGAAAGUAGUACACAGUGCAACGUGUUACAUGUACUGUAACCAGAAAUAAUGAACAUUUGAUCUUUCAUGUAAAGUCACAAACAGUGAACAGAACUUUUGCCCCAAAAUGAUGAAAAACAAAUCAGCAACAAAGUAAAAACGUUUGGCAGUUCAGUAAAAACAAACAAAUAGUCCCUCCUCACUUAUAGAUAGUUAUGGUAUAUACAUGCAUGAUCAACAAAUGGUAUUUGUGCAAAUGUUCUUGAAAUAAUGAAAAUGAAAAGUUAUUGUGAUUAACAAAAAUGAUUCAGUGUUUUCACACACAAAAAAAUUUCAAUCAAGAAUUGAGCCAAACGCGAAUCAGAAAAACUGAAAGGAAUUUGUGCUGUAAAAAUAAACGUGUUAAGUGAGGCAACGUCACGAUCUUGUUGUACUUGCUUCCUGUUUUAUUUUGAAAUGUUCACUCCCCCUUGUAUCAUGUCUUUUGUUACUUCCUGUCCUUUUUCUUCCCUCCCUCUGUGAUUGUUGCUUUGAUCCUCCUGUGUCCAUCCGCCCUACCCUUGUCUUUGCCUUUCUCCUCCUGCUUUGUCUCAUUUCUGUGAUUAGUGUCUGUGUGUAUAUAUAUCCCUGUCUGUCUCAGUGUUCCUUGUCGGUUCGUCAUCCAUGUUAAGCCCUUCUUACUUGAUGUUUUUGCGUGCCUCCCCGUGCUCCCUCGUGUCAUCCU